GGCUUCGUGCUCGAAAGAGAGCCGUAACACAGGUGCUGCAUGGCUGUCGUCAGCUCGUGUCGUGAGAUGUUGGGUUAAGUCCCGCAACGAGCGCAACCCUUGCCAUUAGUUGCUACGAAAGGGCACUCUAAUGGGACUGCCGGUGACAAACCGGAGGAAGGUGGGGAUGACGUCAAGUCCUCAUGGCCCUUAUAGGUGGGGCUACACACGUCAUACAAUGGCCGGUACAAAGGGCAGCCAACCCGCGAGGGGGAGCCAAUCCCAUAAAGCCGGUCGUAGUCCGGAUCGCAGUCUGCAACUCGACUGCGUGAAGUCGGAAUCGCUAGUAAUCGUGGAUCAGCAUGUCACGGUGAAUACGUUCCCGGGUCUUGUACACACCGCCCGUCACACCAUGGGAGCGGGUCUCGCCAGAAGUAGGUAGCCUAACCGCAAGGAGGGCGCUUACCACGGCGGGGUUCGUGACUGGGGUGAAGUCGUAACAAGGUAGCCGUAUCGGAAGG
rnacentral:rRNA from 1 species